rnacentral:rRNA from 1 species
UACAGAGGGGGGCAAGCGUUGUUCGGAAUUACUGGGCGUAAAGGGCGCGUAGGCGGCCUUCUAAGUCGAACGUGAAAUCCCUGGGCUCAACCCAGGAACUGCGUCCGAUACUGGAAGGCUUGAAUCCGGGAGAGGGAUGCGGAAUUCCAGGUGUAGCGGUGAAAUGCGUAGAUAUCUGGAGGAACACCGGUGGCGAAGGCGGCAGUCCUGGACCGGUAUUGACGCUGAGGCGCGAAAGCCAGGGGAGCAAAGCGGG